GACGAACGCUGGCGGCGUGCUUAACACAUGCAAGUCGAACGGUGAAGGGACUGGUUUUGCUGGUCCUGGAUGAGUGGCGAACGGGUGAGUAACACGUGAGUAACCUGCCCCCUUCUUCUGGAUAACCGCAUGAAAGUGUGGCUAAUACGGGAUAUUCUGGGUCUGUCGCAUGGUGGGCCUGGGAAAGAUUGCGCCUUUUUUGGUGUUUUUGGUGUGGGGUGGGCUCGCGGCCUAUCAGCUUGUUGGUGGGGUGAUGGCCUACCAAGGCGGUGACGGGUAGCCGGCCUGAGAGGGUGGACGGUCACACUGGGACUGAGACACGGCCCAGACUCCUACGGGAGGCAGCAGUGGGGAAUAUUGCACAAUGGGCGCAAGCCUGAUGCAGCGACGCCGCGUGAGGGAUGGAGGCCUUCGGGUUGUGAACCUCUUUCGCCAGUGAAGCAGGCCUGCCUCUUUUUGUGGGUGGGUUGACGGUAGCUGGAUAAGAAGCGCCGGCUAACUACGUG
rnacentral:rRNA from 1 species